GGCGUGCUAUACAUGCAGUCGAGCGAACAGAUAAGGAGCUUGCUCCUUUGACGUUAGCGGCGGACGGGUGAGUAACACGUGGGUAACCUACCUAUAAGACUGGAAUAACUCCGGGAAACCGGGGCUAAUGCCGGAUAACAUAUAGAACCGCAUGGUUCUAUAGUGAAAGAUGGUUUUGCUAUCACUUAUAGAUGGACCCGCGCCGUAUUAGCUAGUUGGUAAGGUAAUGGCUUACCAAGGCGACGAUACGUAGCCGACCUGAGAGGGUGAUCGGCCACACUGGAACUGAGACACGGUCCAGACUCCUACGGGAGGCAGCAGUAGGGAAUCUUCCGCAAUGGGCGAAAGCCUGACGGAGCAACGCCGCGUGAGUGAUGAAGGGUUUCGGCUCGUAAAACUCUGUUAUUAGGGAAGAACAUAUGUGUAAGUAACUGUGCACAUCUUGACGGUACCUAAUCAGAAAGCCACGGCUAACUACGUGCCAGCAGCCGCGGUAAUACGUAGGUGGCAAGCGUUAUCCGGAAUUAUUGGGCGUAAAGCGCGCGUAGGCGGUUUCUUAAGUCUGAUGUGAAAGCCCACGGCUCAACCGUGGAGGGUCAUUGGAAACUGGGAAACUUGAGUGCAGAAGAGGAAAGUGGAAUUCCAUGUGUAGCGGUGAAAUGCGCAGAGAUAUGGAGGAACACCAGUGGCGAAGGCGACUUUCUGGUCUGUAACUGACGCUGAUGUGCGAAAGCGUGGGGAUCAAACAGGAUUAGAUACCCUGGUAGUCCACGCCGUAAACGAUGAGUGCUAAGUGUUAGGGGGUUUCCGCCCCUUAGUGCUGCAGCUAACGCAUUA
rnacentral:rRNA from 2 species